GGCAAUAGCUCAGUGGAAGAGCUUCCGCUUUGCGUGCAGGAGGUCCUGGGUUCAAUCCUCAGCAGCAUCU